UACGUAGGGUCCGAGCGUUGUCCGGAGUUACUGGGCGUAAAGCGCGCGUAGGCGGCGGUGUUGGCCCGGCGUGAAAGCCCCCGGCUCAACCGGGGAGAGUCGUCGGGGACCGCACCGCUUGAGGGCGGUAGGGGCUGGUGGAAUGCCUGGUGUAGUGGUGAAAUGCGUAGAGAUCAGGCAGAACACCUGGGGCGAAGGCGGCCAGCUGGGACGUCCCUGACGCUGAGGCGCGAAGGCGUGGGGAGCGAACGGG
rnacentral:rRNA from 1 species